rnacentral:tRNA from 1 species
UCCCUGGUGGCUCAGAUGGUAAAGCAUUUGCUUGCAAGGCAGGAGACCUGGGUUCAAUCCCUAGGUUGGGAA